CCUACGGGUGGCAGCAGUGAGGAAUAUUGGUCAAUGGGCGCGAGCCUGAACCAGCCAAGUAGCGUGAAGGAUGACUGCCCUACGGGUUGUACACUUCUUUUAUAAAGGAGUAAAGUGAGGCACGUGUGCCUUUUUGUAUGUCCUUUAUGAAUAAGGAUCGGCUAACUCCGUGCCAGCAGCCGCGGUAAUACGGAGGAGCCGAUCGUUAUCCGGAAUUAUUGGGUUUAAAGGAAGCGUAGUUGGGUGUUUAAGUCAGUUGUGAAAGUGUGCGGCUCAACGGUAGAAUUGCAAUUGAUACUGGUGGUCGUGAGUACAGGAGGGGCAAGCGGAAUUCUUAGUGUAGCGGUGGAAU
rnacentral:rRNA from 1 species